CUUUCAAGGGAUGAGAGAAAGGGACGAGAGAGAGGAGAGGAGAGCUCGGAAUCGUUCCCCAAAGAGGCCCUCAGAAGCAACUCCAGAAAAGCAAACCCAUAAAUUCCAAAUCAACCUUUUGAGAGAAAAGUGAGAUUUUCACAACCAUUCGGCCAAAAUUAGCCAAAACCUUCAACUAGAGAGUGAAACUUCACUCAAAUAUCUUUCCAUCCAUAUGUCGCACGUCCUAAAUGGAGAUCGGGAAGGCCUCCUAAAGCCCCCCGAAAAACACCCUCCAGGCGGGCCAGGAAACACUGAAGAUUUUUCUGAAGUGUUGAGCCCAGUUGGUCACGAGUGGGGAAAAGGCAGUGUUUUUGAGAAAUUGGAGAAAGAAAUGAGGAAAAUAUUGACUUCUAACCUAAACUAGAAUACAUAUAGUUUGGCUUGGUCUCCAUUUUUCCAACAAAAGACAUCUUGAAGUCUAAUGUUAGAGGUUAACGAAAACCUUCGUUGUCAGUUCUUCUUUUCUGCAGAUCUCAUUUCCAGUUGAAGAAGCCAACUUCCAUGUACUUCCAGAGGACAAUUUCUCAGUUUCCUUGGCCAAGAACCACCUGAAAAGGAAACUAGGAAGUAAGGUAAGCAUCUUAGAUGUACGUAUUUUCGAGUUUGAGCAUGUUUUGAUCAUGAAAAUCAAGAGGGAAACCAGCCCGGAGAACUGAUUUCUGAGGUUGAAAUUUUUCUAAAGUGUUUGAAAUAUCUUCAAGAGUGUUGCAUGUGUGCUUCUUGGAGAGGUCGUUUUGAUGUUGUUCGGUGGGUCAUUCUCUGUGAUGUUUAUUGCAUUUGAAAGCUCAUGUUACUUACUUUCACUCGGAUCAAGUAAUGUUUCCUUUAGAUCUCGUAUGCGAUGAGUGUUGGGGCUUGAAUAUGGGCAUGCAACCUGUUUGCUUGACUUUGGUUCAAACCUAGAUUUCAAAAUCAGCUCAACCCACAUAUUUGAGGCCGAUUCCAG
rnacentral:lncRNA from 1 species